AGCAAAGGGCAGUGAGGCGAAGACGCCAUUGAGCUCCAACACAGAAUGAGUAUUGCAGGUGAAGAAACAGAGAGAAAGCUGCUGAAGCAAAAUCCAUACUUCAGAAUGAUUGCAGACACAUUCAGAGGAACACGUGGAACAUGUAUUUAUCUGACCAGACGUCCGCAGUUCUGUGAGAAUGUUGGGAUAGAACAUUGCAGUCAGCUCAAAACAUGGCAUUAUUUUAUGGCUGAUUCUACACCGGGUGAUACACUACAGAGCACAUGGAAUAUAAGUGCAACAACACCAUCAUCACAAGAGCAUAUCAGAUGGAAAGCUCAUGCGGAGAUGUUUGGGCACAGAGUUGGGGAGUUCAGCCUGAGUUCUUUUGAGAGGAGAGACUGUGGGAAUGUUGGCAAAGGAUGUUUGAGAUGGAGUAGAGAGGUAAAAAGAAAAGGAGAACAACCAAGCAGGUUGGUGGACGUGAUAAAUAGGAACAUGAGGAGGAUGCACUGUACAAGAUAAGCUGAGGUGGAGGAGGCUGACUGGGUCUGGCAACAUUUGAUGCCAAGUUAUGCACGAGGGUCUACUUUAUAAUCUUAUAAAACUUGGCCAGUCUGACUUAUACUUUAACUGAACAUUGAUAAACUAGUAGCACCACUGAAUAUUGAAUGGCUGUUCGUGGAUUUUUGUCCCACAAACAAAUGUAGAGACAGAUAUUUAUUAUCACCACAUGUAUUGCCUCUAGUCAUUAGUUAUAUUUCCCAACUCUGUAUUGCUUUGAGAAAACUUGAAAAACGACAUGAUGAAUGUGAUUCAGACUCCCCUCUUUUCAUCAUAUUAUGCUUCUUUAAUAAAUAGACCUGCCUCCAUGAAUGAAACAGUUUUCCGUAAAUUCAAUUCUGAAAUUUAAAAAACAGCGAGCUCACACAAACAGCGGAGAACAUUACAAAAGAUCAUUCACCGAUACCCGAUGAGUGGAGCGGCAGGGGUUCACUGGUAGCAUUGAAAACGUUCAUGCUGAAAAUGGAUUUUUAAAGCUUUGCAACUGAAUGUAUAUUUAUGGUGUUUUUCUUUCAUGCACCACACGACA